CAUCGGACUGGAGGUUCUACAAGGAUCAUUGGAUGCGAAUGAACGUAUGGGAGGCCUUUUAUGAUCAAUGGAGCAACAAGGAGUACUCCAAUAGGUGGUAGAGGGUCCGACAGAAUUAAACCAUCCAGCAGGAUCUGAUCAGGUACACAGACAGCUCCGUCAGCACACAUGUUGUGGCCGAUAGAUUGGUAAGAAAUCUAUACCACAACUCUUCACUAGAACUAUAAAAACUCUUAUAUGUACGCUUUCAUUAAUUUAAUUUUAUUAUUUACUUAUU
rnacentral:lncRNA from 1 species